rnacentral:rRNA from 1 species
AGAGUUUGAUUCUGGCUCAGAACGAACGCUGGUGGCGUGUCUUAUACAUGCAAGUCGAGCGAGGCAGCAAUGCCGAGCGGCGAACGGGUGAGUAACGCGUAAGCAAUCUGCCCCAUAUCAGGAAAUACCCGUGCCAACGCGCGGUUAAUGUCCAGGAGAGUGGCCCUCCGCAUGGAGGGUUGACUAGAGAUUUAUCGGUAUGGGAUGAGCUUGCGUCCGAUUAGCUAGUUGGCGGGGCAACGGCCCACCAAGGCGACGAUCGGUAGCCGGCCUGAGAGGGUGAUCGGCCACAUUGGGACUGAGAUACGGCCCAGACUCCUACGGGAGGCAGCAGUAGGGAAUAUUGCACAAUGGGGGAAACCCUGAUGCAGCAACGCCAACCGUGUGGGAAGAAGCAUUUCGGUGUGUAAACCACUGUCAUGAGGGAAUAAGGCCCGCCUUCGGACGGGAUUGAAUGUACCUUGAAAGGAAGCACCGGCAAACUUCGUGCCAGCAGCCGC